CCCUGCCACCUCUGAGUCUCACAGAAGUGCAGGUUCGGGUAUAUUCAAGAUACAGCUCCACCCGUAACCCACCGCCAUGGCCGAGGAAGGCAUGGCUGCUGGAGGUGUAAUGGACAUUAAUACCUCUGUACAAGAGGUGCCGAAGACCGCCCUCAUCCACGACAGCCUAGCACGUGGAAAUUGCCAAGCUGCCAAAGCCUUAGACAAGCACCAAGCCCAUCUUUGUGUGCUUGCAUCCAACUGCGAUGAGCCUACGUAUGUCAAGUUGUGCCAAAUGCCAAUCAACCUAAUUAAAGUUGAUAACAAGAAACUACGGGAAUGGGUAGGCCUCUGUAAAAUUCACAGAUAGGGAAAACCCUGGGAAGUGGUUGGUUGCAGUUGUGUGGUGGUCAAGGACUAUGGCAAAAAGUCUCAGAACAAGGAUGUCAUCAAGGAGUACUUCAACUGCAAGAAAUAA